rnacentral:lncRNA from 1 species
UGCAGAGCUCUCGUCCACCAGGCGGUCAUACUCCAGCAGGAACUCGUCCAGCUCGCCGGAGUCCCCGAAGGCGCCCCACUCGGUGAAAAUGGAAGUAAGAGAAGUAUAGAACCACACGGCUGUGCGCACAGCAGAUAACUGAUCUGAUUGGAUUGCUCCUCAGUGAAGGCUGGUUAUAAUGACCUCCGGAACUUCUGAGAAAGGGCCCUUGAAGCCUGUUGUACACAGGGAGCCUCAGCAGUCUGGAAGGGGCAGGGGUGCAAGGAGCCCUUACCCACGAUCAUGCC